AGUGAACGCUGGCGGUAGGCCUAACACAUGCAAGUCGAACGGCAGCACAGUAAGAGCUUGCUCUUACGGGUGGCGAGUGGCGGACGGGUGAGGAAUACAUCGGAAUCUACUUUUUCGUGGGGGAUAACGUAGGGAAACUUACGCUAAUACCGCAUACGACCUACGGGUGAAAGCAGGGGAUCUUCGGACCUUGCGCGAUUGAAUGAGCCGAUGUCGGAUUAGCUAGUUGGCGGGGUAAAGGCCCACCAAGGCGACGAUCCGUAGCUGGUCUGAGAGGAUGAUCAGCCACACUGGAACUGGGACACGGUCCAGACUCCUACGGGGGGCAGCAGUGGGGAAUAUUGGACAAUGGGCGCAAGCCUGAUCCGGCCAUACCGCGUGGGUGAGGAAGGCCUUCGGGUUGUAAAGCCCUUUUGUUGGGAAAGAAAAGCAGCAGGUUAAUACCCCGCCGUUCUGACGGUACCCAAAGAAUAAGCACCGGCUAACUUCGUG
rnacentral:rRNA from 1 species